GAUGAACGCUGGCGGCGUGCCUAAUACAUGCAAGUCGAGCGAACAGACGAGGAGCUUGCUCCUCUGACGUUAGCGGCGGACGGGUGACUAACACGUGGAUAACCUACCUAUAAGACUGGGAUAACUUCGGGAAACCGGAGCUAAUACCGGAUAAUAUAUUGAACCGCAUGGUUCAAUAGUGAAAGACGGUUUUGCUGUCACUUAUAGAUGGAUCCGCGCCGCAUUAGCUAGUUGGUAAGGUAACGGCUUACCAAGGCAACGAUGCGUAGCCGACCUGAGAGGGUGAUCGGCCACACUGGAACUGAGACACGGUCCUGACUCCUACGGGAGGCAGCAGUAGGGAAUCUUCCGCGAUGGGCGAAAGCUUGACGGAGCAACGCCGCGUGAGUGAUGAAGGUCUUCGGAUCGUAAAACUCUGUUAGUAGGGAAGAACAAAUGUGUAAGUAACUAUGCACGUCUUGACGGUACCUAAUCAGAAAGCCACGGCUAACUACGUG
rnacentral:rRNA from 1 species